CCUACGGGUGGCUGCAGUGGGGAAUAUUGGACAAUGGGGGCAACCCUGAUCCAGCCAUGCCGCGUGUGUGAAGAAGGCCCUCGGGUUGUAAAGCACUUUCAGUGAGGAAGAACGCCUGGUGGUUAAUACCCAUCAGGAAAGACAUCACUCACAGAAGAAGCACCGACUAACUCCGUGCCAGCAGCCGCGGUAAUACGGAGGGUGCGAGCGUUAAUCGGAAUUACUGGGCGUAAAGCGCGCGUAGGUGGCUUGAUAAGCCGGUUGUGAAAGCCCCGGGCUCAACCUGGGAACGGCAUCCGGAACUGUCAAGCUAGAGUGCAGGAGAGGAAGGUAGAAUUCCCGGUGUAGCGGUGAAAUGCGUAGAGAUCGGGAGGAAUACCAGUGGCGAAGGCGGCCUUCUGGACUGACACUGACACUGAGGUGCGAAAGCGUGGGUAGCAAACAGGAUUAGAUACCCCUGUAGUC
rnacentral:rRNA from 1 species